rnacentral:lncRNA from 1 species
CCUAAAUUGACACAAUAUGAAUUAUUCUUGAUUUAAUGGUCAUCUCCUACUUUUUCUUACACUAACCAAGUCAGUUCACAGGAUUGACUCAAUGUUCAACAGGUAAUGUGAAUAAAAAUUAAUGUUUAUUCUCCCUUUCACUCUCUCACUCAUAAAUGGUCGGAUAUUUCAUUUAUAAGAGAAAUGUGCUAUAGGUAGUCUACGAGUUUUCUUGCAUCAAUCUUUAGUAUUGUAAAGUCUACUGGAAUAAUGUAAUAAAAGAUACAUCUCUCUAACCAUAAGCAUCAGAGCACUAUAUUUUAUCCAUAUUAAGACACUGUUUAUCAUAGAAUAGCUUGAGUCAGAAGGGAAG